GAGAAUCUUUAGUAUUUAAUAUUUUUUAUUGUUAAAAUAUACAUAUAUUCAUGUAUGUGGGAAAAAUUUAAACAAUACAGAUGUAUAUAAAAUAAAAAGUGAAAUUGUCCCCAACCCUAUUCCCUAGAGAUAAUCACAGUUCAUUUGGGGUUUAGAUUACUCAAGAUGUCUUUCUAUACACAUAUAAACAUAUACAUAACCACAAGCAUGCACAACUACAUUAUACACAUACAAUAUGAUCAAGCUGAAUCUACACUAUAGCCAUUCGCUUUUUGUUUUAUUUUUUAGAAGUCAACUUUAUUGAGUUAUAAUUUACAUAGUAAAAUUCAUCCUCUUAUAUGUACAGUUCAAUUAGCUUUGACAAAUGUAUGAAGAUACACAAUCAUAACCAUAAUUCAGAUAUAGAAUAUUUCCUUAUCCCCCAAAUUUCCUCAUAUUGUUUUAUAGUCAAUCUUUUUUCCUCCAACCCCAGCUCUUUGCAGCCACUAGAUCUAAUUUCUGUUCCAUAGUUUUGCCUUUUUCAGAAUGUUAUAUAAAUAGAAAUUCUGUGAUUGGCUUCUUCUACUUGGCAUAAUGCUUUUGAGGUUCAUCUUGUUACAUUUAUCAGCAGUUGCUUCUAUUACAUUGUUGAAUUUUAUUUCAUUCUACACAUGUACCACAAUUUGUUUAUCCAUUCACCAGUUGAUGGACAUUUGGGCUAUUUCUGGUUUUGACUAUUAUGAAUAAAACUACUAUAAAUAUUUAUAUACAGGUGUUUGUGUGGAUGUAUGAUUUUAUUUUUCUUUGGUAAAUAAUUAUGAGUGGGAUUCCUCUAUCAUAUUGUGUGUAUUUAAGUUUAUAUGGAACUGCUAAACAGUUUCUAAAGCAGCUGUACAAUUUUUCAUUCCCAUCAGUGAUUUUGAGAGUUCCAGUUGCUCCAAGUCCUUAUCAGCCCUUGGUACUGUCAGAUUUUUAACAUUUUAGCCAUUCUAGUAGGUGUGUAAUAAUAUCUCUCUCUUUUUUUUUUUUUAGAUGGAAUCUCGCUCUGUCACUGGCUGGAGUGCAGUGGUGCAAUCUCAGCUCACUGCAACCUCUGCCUCCUGGAUUCAAGUGAUUCUCCUGCCUCAGCCUCCAGAGUAGCUGGGAUUACAGAGACCAUUCCUAAUGCAGCAGUUAAGAAAAAAGUCACAUACUCCAGGGAUCUUCCUGAAAACCACUAAUCUGACAUGUAGGCUAUGACAACUGAGAUUGGCCUAGUGAGAAAUCAAAUCUAGGGUUUCCAUCAUGUAAGUUGUUGUCUUUAUUUCAUUAUACUUUGAUUCAACCCCUAAUGGAUUCAGCUUCAUAAAGUCAGAAAAAGAAAAAAAAAGCAAUUUAUUCAUGUUUUCAUUGGAGCUCACUGCAGUCAUGAAAUUUCUCUAAAAAUGCAAAUCAUUUGGUGCCACGUAAGUGAAACUUGGUAGCUAAAGUGCUUAGAGGAAAAUGCUUUCCCA
rnacentral:lncRNA from 1 species